rnacentral:rRNA from 1 species
UACGGAGGGUGCGAGCGUUAUCCGGAAUUACUGGGUUUAAAGGGUGCGUAGGCGGCCCUGUAAGUCAGUGCUGAAAUAUCCCAGCUUAACUGGGAGGGUGGCAUUGAUACUGCGGGGCUAGAGUACAGAUGAGGUAGGCGGAAUUGACGGUGUAGCGGUGAAAUGCUUAGAUAUCGUCAAGAACACCUAUAGCGAAGGCAGCUUACUAGGCUGUAACUGACGCUGAGGCACGAAAGUGUGGGGAUCAAACAGG